GCCGUGCUGUAAUGGCGGCCGGACGGCUCGGUGCUGCUUCGUGCGGGCUGCGUGCCCCGCUGUGAGGGCCGGCUUGAGCUGAGCAUCUGGCUUGCACAAAGGCACCAAGGCUAAGGCAGGUCCACCUGUGUUUUCUGCAGAGGAUUCCUCUCGGUACUCUUAGGGAAGAAAAAGGCUUUGAAGCUGCUGACAUAAGCACUCAGUCCCUCCUGGUUCUCUGCUUGUCCUGCGCUUCUCUCAAUAGCAGAUAAAUGACCACAGGGAGAAACUGCUCACAGACCACUCUGCUCUGCACGGACUCACCUCCAUUUACAGAAAUAAGUGCACUGGCAAGGGCUUGACUCGUGUCAUCACCCAAGGUGAUGUUUAUACAGUACGUUCCAGGUUCAUCAAAAGCUCUCCUAAUGGUGAGUAAGCAUUCUUCAGUGACGACGAUGGGGUCACAUACCAUGCCCUGAGACACCUGGCACGUGGGGUCAGAAACUGCUGUACAGACAUCUGUAGGGAGACUGGGGUGGGAAGAGAGAAUAUGUUGCGUUGUGGAAUCCUGUUAGCCCCACUUAUGGACACCUUGCACUGCUGCCCCAGAUUUAUACUGAUGUUUGUUUGCUUAUCAGUGAUACCGUCGUGAUUAUGAAGAUGGCAUCUAUAUAUUAUCUAUAUGUAUUAUCUGUAUUUUAUGCAUAUAAUGUUUUGUGGUGA